GAAAUGCGAUAAGUAAUGUGAAUUGCAGAAUUCAGUAAAUCAUCGAAUCUUUGAACGCACAUUGCGCCCGCCAGUAUUCUGGCGGGCAUGCCUGUUCGAGCGUCAUUACAACCCUCAGGCCCCCGGGCCUGGCGUUGGGGAUCGGCGGAAGCCCCCUGCGGGCACAACGCCGUCCCCCAAAUACAGUGGCGGUCCCGCCGCAGCUUCCAUUGCGUAGUAGCUAACACCUCGCAACUGGAGAGCGGCGCGGCCACGCCGUAAAACACCCAACUUCUGAAUGUUGACCUCGAAUCAGGUAGGAAUACCCGCUGAACUUAAGC
rnacentral:misc_RNA from 1 species